rnacentral:rRNA from 1 species
GUGGGGAAUAUUGCACAAUGGGCGAAAGCCUGAUGCAGCGACGCCGCGUGAGCGAUGAAGUAUUUCGGUAUGUAAAGCUCUAUCAGCAGGGAAGAUAAUGACGGUACCUGACUAAGAAGCACCGGCUAAAUACGUGCCAGCAGCCGCGGUAAUACGUAUGGUGCAAGCGUUAUCCGGAUUUACUGGGUGUAAAGGGAGCGUAGGCGGUCUUGCAAGUCUGAUGUGAAAGCCCGGGGCUCAACCGCGGGAUUGCAUUGGAAACUGUAGGACUUGAGUAUCGGAGAGGUAAGUGGAAUUCCUAGUGUAGCGGUGAAAUGCGUAGAUAUUAGGAGGAACACCAGUGGCGAAGGCGGCUUACUGGACGAUAACUGACGCUGAGGCUCGAAAGCGUGGGGAGCAAACAGG